GACGAACGCUGGCGGCGUGCUUAACACAUGCAAGUCGAACGGAAAGGCCCCUUCGGGGGUACUCGAGUGGCGAACAGGUGAGUAACACGUGAGUAACCUGCCCUUGACUUCGGGAUAACUUCAGGAAACUGGGGCUAAUACCGGAUAGGAAUCCUUGCUGCAUGGUGGGGGUUGGAAAGCUUCGGCGGUUUUGGAUGGACUCGCGGCUUAUCAGCUUGUUGGUGGGGUAGUGGCUUACCAAGGCUUUGACGGGUAGCCGGCCUGAGAGGGCGACCGGCCACAUUGGGACUGAGAUACGGCCCAGACUCCUACGGGAGGCAGCAGUGGGGAAUAUUGCACAAUGGGCGGAAGCCUGAUGCAGCAACGCCGCGUGCGGGAGGACGGCCUUCGGGUUGUAAACCGCUUUCAGCAGGGGCGAAGCUUGUGGUGACGGUACCUGCAGAAGAAGCACCGGCUAACUACGUG
rnacentral:rRNA from 1 species